UGUUGGAAAAUCAGGUCACAUGCAGCUCGUCCUGCCCGAUCAUUGGUUGCACCAGGAUGGUGUGAGGAAGAAGGAAGAUCAUAUUUGAAAUUCAAGCGGGGAUUCAUUGUUUCAUCGUCGAUUACAGCAAGCGUUGUGUUAAAUUUGAUUCGUUAAAUUAAUUUCGCAAAACGAAAAUGUGCAUGGGUUCUACUCAACUGGACGGGGACAAAUGAGACAAGUAUCCUGGAAGAUUCAAUGGUCCCAGAGUUAAAAUAAGGUUCGAGGACAACUGAGGUGGAGAAUAUGGAGACCCAAAGUUAACAAGAACCCUCCAAGAAAAAUGUCUGAAUGGCGUACUGUAUUCAAGUGUUGUCGAUUCUAUUCAUAUAGGUUGCACUAGAUACAUUUUGUCUCAAAGGACUAUUUUGCAUCUUUAAAAAGUCAACAUGCAAGUAGACUGGUAUAUAAUAUACAGUAUCUGCAAUAGUUGAUAACCCAGAUAUCCAGUCAGCAGCUGUAAAAACCAAGAUGAUUAAAAUAUGUAAAGAUACAAGGCGCUCCAUAUCAAAGGGAAUGGAUACAGCAGCUAAUGUUUAACAACAGGCGCUUAAAGUGCAGUAAUUUUUAAAUUUUAAAUUGUAAUGGUAAUUAUCUUUGCUAAAGGUAACUUAGCAAAGUGUUGUAAUCAAAUUUUUUUUAAAAAGUUUAUUUCAUAUCCUACAGAUGAGCUGCAGCAUGCUUUACCAUCUAAGUAACUGUUCGUCUAUAUGCAAUAAAAAGAAUUUAAACAAUUGUAAACUCAUUGCUACAUUAACUUAACAACUAUUAAAAUCCUUGACUAAUUUAAGCAAAACAAUACCUUUAGUGUGAAGCAGUUACUGUAUACAUUUGACUAAUGUAUGUUUUUAACUUAUGUUAUAUGUUAUAACACAUACAUAAUUUUAAUUUUUUUAGUUUAAUAAAUGUUUAUUUUAUCAAUUUUAAAACUGUUAAUAUUUUAUUUUUGUUGUACCUUGCAGGAUGAAGGUGAGAACUUUGAGAUUGUGCAUGUGAUGGUUUUACUGCGUGGUGACACUGAAUCUCUUUAGAACAAACAUUUUAGUGUAAACUUCACCAAUAACACAUAGUCAAUAAUAUUAUGUGUUAACACUGUGUUUACUGUAUGUUGGCAAGAUAUGACAACAAUGUGUUUAGUGUGAAAACCUCACCAAUUUCACAUAGUCAACAGAGUAAACACACUGUGUUUUUUGUGGGGUGACACUAUGUUUACUCUAUAGUGACACUGUGUUUAGUAACAAUAUGGAGAUAGUUUGUGUAUUGUGAGGUACACUAUGGGAACAGUGUGUGAACACUGUGUUUACUGAAUGUUAGCAAUUUGUGACAACAAUGUGUUUACUGUGUUUCACACUGUGAAAACCUCACCAAUUUCACAUAGUCCACAGAGUGAACACAUUGUAAACACACUGUAUUUAUUGUGUGGUGACACUAUGGAAACACUAUGUUCACUGUGUGGGGACAGUGUGUUAAUUGUGUGGCUACACUGUGGGGACAGUGUGUUUACUGUGUGGGAACAAUGUGAUUAUUGUGUGGUGACACUAUGUUUAUGUUUGGUGUCACUAUGGAAACACUAUGUUUAUUGUGUGCGGACAGUGUGUUAAUUGUGUGGCUACACUAUGGCGACAUUGUGUUUAUUGUGAGGGGACUGUGUGUAAACACUGUGUUUCACACAGUUCACAGUGUGAAAACCUCACCAAUUUCAUAUAGUCAAGGAGUUAUUCACACAGUGUACACACUGUAAACACACUGUGAACACACAGUGCACACACUGUGGUGCAGUAUGUGUACACUAUGUGAACACAUAGUUUUUCACACUGUGUCCACUGUGUUGUAUUUUCCAAAGGGGUGCCUCCAAACGAUGUAGUUCGAGUAACUUGAUUGCAAUCCUCCUUUCGGUGGCUUUAGUCGGGUCUUUCUUGAUCCUCCUAUACAUAGGGGCGUUCAAGAUAUGCAAGAUUUUCUCGUUG